rnacentral:rRNA from 1 species
ACACAUGCAAGUCGAACGGAAAGGCCCAGCUUGCUGGGUACUCGAGUGGCGAACGGGUGAGUAACACGUGGGUGAUCUGCCUUGCACUCUGGGAUAAGCCUGGGAAACUGGGUCUAAUACCGGAUAGGACCUCUGGCUGCAUGGUUGGGGGUGGAAAGCUUUUGCGGUGUGAGAUGGGCCCGCGGCCUAUCAGCUUGUUGGUGGGGUAAUGGCCUACCAAGGCGACGACGGGUAGCCGACCUGAGAGGGUGAUCGGCCACACUGGGACUGAGACACGGCCCAGACUCCUACGGGAGGCAGCAGUGGGGAAUAUUGCACAAUGGGCGCAAGCCUGAUGCAGCGACGCCGCGUGAGGGAUGACGGCCUUCGGGUUGUAAACCUCUUUCGCCAGGGACGAAGCGUAAGUGACGGUACCUGGAGAAGAAGCACCGGCCAACUACGUGCCAGCAGCCGCGGUAAUACGUAGGGUGCGAGCGUUGUCCGGAAUUACUGGGCGUAAAGAGCUCGUAGGCGGUUUGUCGCGUCGUCUGUGAAAUUCUGCAACUCAAUUGCAGGCGUGCAGGCGAUACGGGCAGACUUGAGUACUACAGGGGAGACUGGAAUUCCUGGUGUAGCGGUGAAAUGCGCAGAUAUCAGGAGGAACACCGGUGGCGAAGGCGGGUCUCUGGGUAGUAACUGACGCUGAGGAGCGAAAGCGUGGGGAGCGAACAGGAUUAGAUACCCUGGUAGUCCACGCCGUAAACGGUGGGUACUAGGUGUGGG